rnacentral:rRNA from 1 species
AACGAACGCUGGCGGCAUGCCUAACACAUGCAAGUCGAACGAGACCUUCGGGUCUAGUGGCGCACGGGUGCGUAACGCGUGGGAACCUGCCCUUAGGUUCGGAAUAACUCCCCGAAAGGGGUGCUAAUACCGGAUAAUGUCUUCGGACCAAAGAUUUAUCGCCUUUGGAUGGGCCCGCGUUGGAUUAGCUAGUUGGUAGGGUAAAAGCCUACCAAGGCGACGAUCCAUAGCUGGUCUGAGAGGAUGAUCAGCCACACUGGGACUGAGACACGGCCCAGACUCCUACGGGAGGCAGCAGUGGGGAAUAUUGGACAAUGGGCGAAAGCCUGAACCAGCAAUGCCGCGUGAGUGAUGAAGGCCUUAGGGUUGUAAAGCUCUUUUACCCGGGAUGAUAAUGACAGUACCGGGAGAAUAAGCGCCGGCUAACUCCGUG